GUAGGGAAUCUUCCACAAUGGACGAAAGUCUGAUGGAGCAAUGCCGCGUGAGUGAAGAAGGGUUUCGGCUCGUAAAACUCUGUUGUUGAAGAAGAACGGGUGCAAGAGUAACUGUUUGCAUCGUGACGGUAUUCAACCAGAAAGCCACGGCUAACUACGUGCCAGCAGCCGCGGUAAUACGUAGGUGGCAAGCGUUGUCCGGAUUUAUUGGGCGUAAAGCGAGCGCAGGCGGUUUCUUAAGUCUGAUGUGAAAGCCUUCGGCUUAACCGGAGAAGUGCAUCGGAAACUGGGGAACUUGAGUGCAGAAGAGGACAGUGGAACUCCAUGUGUAGCGGUGGAAUGCGUAGAUAUAUGGAAGAACACCAGUGGCGAAGGCGGCUGUCUAGUCUGUAACUGACGCUGAGGCUCGAAAGCAUGGGUAGCAAACAGGAUUAGAAACCCGAGUAGUCC
rnacentral:rRNA from 1 species